rnacentral:rRNA from 1 species
CAAUAAGUAUUCCACCUUGGGAGUACGUUCGCAAGAAUGAAACUUCAAAGGAAUUGACGGGACCCGCACAAGCGGUGGAGCAUGUGGUUUAAUUCGAAGCAACGCGAAGAACCUUACCAAGUCUUGACAUCCAACUGACAGAGGAAGUAAUGUUCCUUUCCCUUCGGGGCAGUGAGACAGGUGGUGCAUGGUGUCGUCAGCUCGUGUCGUGAGAUGUUGGGUUAAGUCCCGCAACGAGCGCAACCCUUAUCUUUAGUAGCCAGCAUUUAAGGUGGGCACUCUAGAGAGACUGCCGGGGAUAACCCGGAGGAAGGUGGGGAUGACGUCAAAUCAUCAUGCCCCUUAUGAUUUGGGCUACACACGUGCUGCAAUGGCGUAAACAAAGGGAGGCGACCCCGUGAGGGUGAGCAAAUCCCAAAAAUAACGUCUCAGUUCGGAUUGUAGUCUGCAACUCGACUACAUGAAGCUGGAAUCGCUAGUAAUCGCGGAUCAGAAUGCCGCGGUGAAUACGUUCCCGGGUCUUGUACACACCGCCCGUCAAGCCAUGAAAGCCGGGGGCGCUUGAAGUCCGUGACCGCAAGGAUCGGCCUAGAGCGAAACUGGUAAUUGGGGCUAAGUCGUAACAAGGUA